rnacentral:rRNA from 1 species
CUACGGGGCGCUGCAGUGGGGAAUCUUGCGCAAUGGGCGAAAGCCUGACGCAGCGACUUCGCGUGGAGGAUGAAGCCUUUCGGGGUGUAAACUUCUUUUCUGGGAGAAGACGAAUGACGGUAUCUCAGGAAUAAGGGACGGCUAACUACGUGCCAGCAGCCGCGGUAAUACGUAGGUCCCGAGCGUUAUCCGGAGUUACUGGGCGUAAAGGGUCUGUAGCCGGAUGUAUAAGUCUGUCUUCAAAGACUCCGACUCAAUCGGAGGAAGGGGAUGGAUACUGUAUAUCUAGGGUAUUUUGGGGGUUAGUAGAAUUUCCGGUGGAGCGGUGAAAUGCGUUGAUAUCGGAAGGAAUGCCAAAAGUGAAGACAGCUAACUAUGAAAUUACCGACGGUCAGAGACGAAAGCUUGGGUAGCAAACGGGAUUAGAUACCCGUGUAGUC